rnacentral:rRNA from 1 species
UACGUAGGGUGCAAGCGUUAAUCGGAAUUACUGGGCGUAAAGCGUGCGCAGGCGGUUAUGUAAGACAGAUGUGAAAUGCCCGGGCUUAACCUGGGAACUGCAUUUGUGACUGCAUGGCUAGAGUUUGGCAGAGGGGGGUAGAAUUCCACGUGUAGCAGUGAAAUGCGUAGAUAUGUGGAGGAACACCGAUGGCGAAGGCAGCCCCCUGGGCUAACACUGACGCUCAUGCACGAAAGCGUGGGGAGCAAACAGG